rnacentral:tRNA from 1 species
CGGGGCGUGGCUCAGUUUGGCUUAGAGCGCUUGCUUUGGGAGCAAGAGGUCGACAGUUCAAGUCUGUCCGCCCCGACCA